rnacentral:rRNA from 1 species
UACGUAGGGGGCUAGCGUUGUCCGGAUUUAUUGGGCGUAAAGAGCGUGUAGGCGGCCAGGUAGGUGGGGUGUGAAAACUGGAGGCUCAACCUUGAGACGUCGUCCCAAACCCCCUGGCUAGAGUCCGGAAGAGGAGAGUGGAAUUCCUGGUGUAGCGGUGAAAUGCGCAGAUAUCAGGAAGAACACCCGUGGCGAAGGCAGCUCUCUGGGACGGUACUGACGCUGAGACGCGAAAGCGUGGGGAGCGAACAGG